rnacentral:rRNA from 1 species
CGCUGGCGGCGUGCUUAACACAUGCAAGUCGAACGAAGCUGCUUAACUGAUCUUCUUCGGAAUUGAUGUUUUGUAGACUGAGUGGCGGACGGGUGAGUAACGCGUGGGUAACCUGCCCUGUACAGGGGGAUAACAGUUAGAAAUGACUGCUAAUACCGCAUAAGACCACAGCACCGCAUGGUGCAGGGGUAAAAACUCCGGUGGUACAGGAUGGACCCGCGUCUGAUUAGCUAGUUGGUGAGGUAACGGCUCACCAAGGCGACGAUCAGUAGCCGGCUUGAGAGAGUGAACGGCCACAUUGGGACUGAGACACGGCCCAAACUCCUACGGGAGGCAGCAGUGGGGAAUAUUGCACAAUGGGGGGAACCCUGAUGCAGCGACGCCGCGUGAGUGAAGAAGUAUCUCGGUGUGUAAAGCUCUAUCAGCAGGGAAGAAAAUGACGGUACCUGACUAAGAAGCCCCGGCUAACUACGUGCCAGCAGCCGCGGUAAUACGUAGGGGGCAAGCGUUAUCCGGAUUUACUGGGUGUAAAGGGAGCGUAGACGGCAAGGCAAGUCUGAUGUGAAAACCCAGGGCUUAACCCUGGGACUGCAUUGGAAACUGUCUGGCUCGAGUGCCGGAGAGGUAAGCGGAAU